rnacentral:rRNA from 1 species
GAUGAACGCUGGCGGCGUGCCUAAUACAUGCAAGUCGAGCGAACAGACGAGGAGCUUGCUCCUCUGACGUUAUCGGCGGACGGGUGAGUAACACGUGGAUAACCUACCUAUAAGACUGGGAUAACUUCGGGAAACCGGAGCUAAUACCGGAUAAUAUAUUGAACCGCAUGGUUCAAUAGUGAAAGACGGUUUUGCUGUCACUUAUAGAUUGAUCCGCGCCGCAUUAGCUAGUUGGUAAGGUAACGGCUUACCAAGGCAACGAUGCGUAGCCGACCUGAGAGUGUGAUCGGCCACACUGGAAGUGAGACACGGUCCAGACUCCGACGGGAGGAAGCAGUAGGGAAUCUUCCGCAAUGGGCGAAAGCCUGACGGAGCAACGCCGCGUGAGUGAUGAAGGUCUUCGGAUCGUAAAACUCUGUUAUUAGGGAAGAACAAAUGUGUAAGUAACUAUGCACGUCUUGACGGUACCUAAUCAGAAAGCCACGGCUAACUACGUG